GCCUCAGUAGCGGCGAGUGAAGCGGCAAUAGCUCAAGUUUAGAAUCUGUGAUCGUUUCGGUCACCGAAUUGUAAUCUAAAGGGGCUAACAAAAGGGGAUGUGGAAGCAUAAGUUCCUUGGAACAGGACAUCAUAGAGGGUGAAAAUCCCGUAUGUAGCUUUCACUGAACUGAAUGUUGACCUUCUAAGAGUCGGGUUGUUUGGGAUUGCAGCCCUAAAUGGGAGAUAAACUUCUUCUAAGGCUAAAUAUCUAUGGGAAACCGAUAGCGAACAAGUACUGUGAAGGAAAGGUGAAAAGAACUUUGAAAAGAGGGUUAAAAGACUUGAAAUCGUUGAGAAGGAAGCGGUAGAAGUGGAUUCCUUGUCUAUGAAGCAAAUUAUCUAAGGCACCAACUCGGAGUGGCCUCUGUACGUCAUUGGCUAAGCUAUUCCGAUGUAAUGGCACUUUAUGGUGAUUUCAUAGACAAAGAGCAGUCUUGUGUCUCCGGUAUUGUAUUCAAUAGGCUGGAAGUUCCCGGUUUAUAAACCAAUACC
rnacentral:rRNA from 1 species